UUUCCGUAGGUGAACCUGCGGAAGGAUCAUUAAAAAAUUGGACUCCAUUGGUGAGUUCAUUAAUAAUCCCUACCCUUUGUGAAUUUGUUUGUUUGAAUAAUUUUUUUUCCAAAAAAAAUUACUGAAUGUCUUUCCUUGUUUUGGUGGAGCUUGUAAAGUGAAACCAGGCAGGGGAAUGGCAAACAAUAAUUAUUUUUGAAAAAGACCUUUUUUUAAAAUUAAACUUUUUGUAUUCAUUUGUCUAAAAUUAAUUUUUAUAAUAUAAAAACAACUUUUGACAAUGGAUCUCUUGGUUCUCGCAACGAUGAAGAACGCAGCAAAAUGCGAUAAGUAGUGUGAAUUGCAGAAUACGUGAAUCGUCGAAUCUUCGAACGCAUAUUGCACUUUUUUAGUUUACUAAAAAAGUAUGUCUGUUUGAGUAUCAGUAAAAUAUUCUCAUAAAAAACAUUGUUUUUUUUAUGGUUAUGAGUGUUUUACAACGAUAACAAGUUGUUUCACUUUAAAUUCUUUGUUAUCAAAAAAUCAUUAAAAGCUAAUUUUAAAGAUUUUUUAAAAUUGGAUAAAAUUUUCCCGUAAAAAGGAAUAACCUAAACAAUUUUAAAAAAUUAAAAUUGGUUUGAUUUUUUUUGAAACCCAAAGGAAAAAAAAACGAAAUUAACUUGAUCUCAAAUCAGAUAAGAGUACCCGCUGAACUUAAGCAUAUCAAUAAGCGGAGGAAAAGAAACUAACUAGGAUUCCCUCAGUAACGGCGAGUGAAGCGGGAAGAGCUCAAAUUUGAAAUCUUCAAGGUUUUACCUUGACGAAUUGUAGUUUAAAGAAGUGUUUUCUGUUGGAGUUUUGGUAAAAGUUCUUUGGAAAAGGACAUCAUAGAGGGUGAGAAUCCCGUAUUUGACCAUUAUCUCCAGCUUUGUGAUACACUUUCAAAGAGUCGGAUUGUUUGGGAAUGCAGUCCAAAAUGGGUGGUAAAUUUCAUCUAAAGCUAAAUACUGGCGAGAGACCGAUAGCGAACAAGUACCGUGAGGGAAAGAUGAAAAGAACUUUGAAAAGAGAGUUAAACAGUACGUGAAAUUGUCAAAAGGGAAGCGUUUGACACCAGUGUUGUUUUCUCGAAAAUCAAUUAAAAAAGGCCGGAUUUUGUGUUGUAUUGACUUUAUCAGCUUUCUGCACUCUUUUCUUGUCUUUUUUAAUGCACUUUUCGUUUAACAAGUCAACAUCAAUUUCUUUUGUUGUAAAAGGGUCAUUGGAAGGUGGCUUUCUUUUCGGAGAAAGUGUUUAUAGCCUUUGGCCUCUGCAAUCGGAGAGAUUGAGGUCUGCAGCGUAGAUCCUUCGGGGUUAGAUACAUUUGUGCUAAGUUAUAGCCUUUCAUAGACAACUUGUUGACUAUGAUCAGUCAUGUAGCUUACUCGCUUAUGCUAUUUUACCUACGCUUAGGAUGUUG
rnacentral:misc_RNA from 1 species